rnacentral:misc_RNA from 1 species
GAUGAAGAACGUAGCGAAAUGCGAUAAGUAGUGUGAAUUGCAGAAUUCAGUGAAUCAUCGAAUCUUUGAACGCACAUUGCGCCCUUUGGUAUUCCAAAGGGCAUGCCUGUUCGAGCGUCAUUUGUACCCUCAAGCUUUGCUUGGUGUUGGGCGUCUUGUCUCCAGUUCGCUGGAGACUCGCCUUAAAGUAAUUGGCAGCCGGCCUACUGGUUUCGGAGCGCAGCACAAGUCGCGCUCUCUUCCAGCCAAGGUCAGCAUCCAAAAGCCUUUUUUCAACUUUUGACCUCGGAUCAGGUAGGGAUACCCGCUGAACUUAAGCAUAUCAAUAAGCGGAGGA